rnacentral:rRNA from 1 species
CACCGCGGUUAUACGAGAGACCCGAGUUGAUAAGUGCCGGCGUAAAGAGUGGUUAUGGACAACUGUAAAACUAAAGCCGAAUGCCCCCAAGGCUGUUAUACGCACCCGGAGGCCAGAAACUCAACUACGAAAGUGGCUUUACUACCCCUGAACCCACGAAAGCUAUGACA